AUUGAACGCUGGCGGCAGGCCUAACACAUGCAAGUCGAACGGUAACAGGAAACAGCUUGCUGUUUCGCUGACGAGUGGCGGACGGGUGAGUAAUGUCUGGGAAACUGCCUGAUGGAGGGGGAUAACUACUGGAAACGGUAGCUAAUACCGCAUAACGUCGCAAGACCAAAGAGGGGGACCUUCGGGCCUCUUGCCAUCAGAUGUGCCCAGAUGGGAUUAGCUAGUAGGUGGGGUAACGGCUCACCUAGGCGACGAUCCCUAGCUGGUCUGAGAGGAUGACCAGCCACACUGGAACUGAGACACGGUCCAGACUCCUACGGGAGGCAGCAGUGGGGAAUAUUGCACAAUGGGCGCAAGCCUGAUGCAGCCAUGCCGCGUGUAUGAAGAAGGCCUUCGGGUUGUAAAGUACUUUCAGCGGGGAGGAAGGGAGUAAAGUUAAUACCUUUGCUCAUUGACGUUACCCGAAGAAGAAGCACCGGCUAACUCCGUG
rnacentral:rRNA from 1 species